rnacentral:misc_RNA from 1 species
UGAAAUUGUCAUAAUUUAUAAUAAUGCUUGCCAGAAUGCUGUUUAAAAAUUCCUAUGGAUGCUAUAAACGAGCCAAAAUAAAAAAUAAAAAAGGAAAAUAGACAUACAGAUUAUAUUUUGUUGUUUGUUAAGAAAGAGAGAAGGAAUGGUGCAGAUCUAUUUCAAGGCUGACAAAUAAAAAACUUUUUAUUUUCAUAAUUUUUUUGUUUAUUUUUCUAUAAUAAUAAAAAUAUUGGAUCUUCUCUUCUUUGUGUGUGUUUGUCCAAUAUAUUUAUAAUUCUUUUUUUUUUAAUUUGUUGAGUUAAAAUGUCAACUACUAUGGAAGAAAAUAAUAA